rnacentral:piRNA from 1 species
AUUCAGGACCGGCCUGACCGAGAUAAU